AUUGAACGCUGGCGGAAUGCUUUACACAUGCAAGUCGAACGGCAGCACGGGGGCAACCCUGGUGGCGAGUGGCGAACGGGCGAGUAAUACAUCGGAACGUGCCCAGUCGGGGGGGAUAACGUAGCGAAAGUUACGCUAAUACCGCAUACGAUCUACGGAUGAAAGCGGGGGACCGUAAGGCCUCGCGCGAUUGGAUCGGCCGAUGUCAGAGUAGGUAGUUGGUGGGGUACAGGCUCACCAAGCCGACGAUCUGUAGCUGGUCUGAGAGGACGACCAGCCACACUGGUACUGAGACAGGGCCCGGACUCCUACGGGAGGCAGCAGUGGGGAAUUUUGGACAAUGGGCGCAAGCCUGAUCCAGCCAUUCCGCGUGUAGGAAGAAGGCCUUCGGGUUGUAAAGUGCUUUUGUCCGGAACGAAAGGGCUCUGGUUAAUACCUGGGGCUCAUGACGGUACCGUAAGAAUAAGCACCGGCUAACUACGUGCCAGCCGCCGCCGUAA
rnacentral:rRNA from 1 species